rnacentral:misc_RNA from 1 species
CACUUGUGAGUGAAAUUUAAGAAAACUGCUGUCUUGAAGAAUAGAAUUCCAUCUUUUACAAACUGAUCGAAGUCGAAAUAUCAUAAAAGGAGGAACCCUAGCCAAAAUCUCAUUCAGUAGAUCUUCAGGCAACAUUGCCCAUAUGUUAUCCUCCAUUUGAACAUCAGGGUAAACAGCUUUACCAAAUGUAGCCACUGUUUCCUCAUCUAAACCCCGUGGUUUGGUCUUAAUCGCCUU